rnacentral:rRNA from 1 species
GACGAACGCUGGCGGCGUGCUUAACACAUGCAAGUCGAACGGAAAGGCCCUGCGUUUGUGGGGCGCUCGUGUGGCGAACGGGUGAGUAUCACGUGAGUAACCUGCCCUUGUCUUUGGGAGAACUUUAGGAAACUGGGGCUAAUAUCGGAUAGGAGCUCCUGCUCCGUGGGGGGGGUUGGAUAGUUUCGGCGGUUGGGGAUGGACUAGAGGCUUAUCAGCUUGUUGGUGGAGUAGUUGAGGACCAAGGGUUUGACGGGUAGGCGGCCUGAGAGGGUGACCGGCCACAUUAGGACUGCGGUAGGGCGCAGACUCGAACGGGAGGCAACGGUGGGGAGUAUUACACAGUGGGCGGGAGCCUGAUGCGGACACGCCGCGAUCGGGAAGACGGGCUUCGGGUUGUGAACCGCUUUCGCCUGUGACGAAGCGUGAGUGACGGUAAUGGGUAAAGAAGCACCGGCUAACUACGUG